AAGCUCUUGGCUUCGCCAAUUAGUGUUUAUAAAGGAGGGAAUUUACAAAAUGUUUUGGGCAAGAACUCCCAAAAGAAGCAACAAAAGUAGCAUUCUCCCAAGUAUUUGUAAGUUCCUCACAUUCGAAAUGUUCUCUAAUUUCAUUCUACUCAGCCUCUCAUCAAAGCCCAGAAUGAAAUUUGUCUUCAAAGCUAUCGGAAAUAUGGUCCAGUCAAACUAUUGGAUACAGUUGGCCAACCUGACUCAGAUCCUCUUCUUGUUUCCCUCUUGGCUUCCCAGUAAGGAUGAUAAAGAAGUCUGUAUGAUGAAGAUACCCUCUCUAAUCCCCAUUUUCCAUUUGAAAUAAAGAUUUGUCUUCUCAUUUGGCAUCUAGUAAUAACCUAUGGGAGUGUGCAUGCUUAGUAAUAAUCUAUGUGAGCACCAAUUUGAACUUUUUAGCCAAAUAAGGUCUAGUGUCCUUGAUCUCUACAACAAUGCUCUUUUCGGAAUGAAGCAGGUAUACAUUUCAUUAAUGCUAACAUAAGCAAUUUUAGACGAGAGAAAAAUGUUGGAACGAAGUCACAAAAUUGUUUUUGAUGAUAUUCCUUGUUCCAAGACAUCAGAAUCGAAGUGACACCAGUGCCCAGGACUUUGCCACUCCAGGAGAAACUACUCCAAAAUCUCUUCCUCCAUGAAGUUUUGCACAAGUCUGGUACUUUCUAAAUGAGAUGGAAUUCCAAUUGUAGCACUCAAGUAGUAAUCUUUCCCCACUGUCAAAUUGUUGAAAAGGGAUAAAAAAAAUUCAAGAUCUAUCCUCCCAUCCAAGAUUUUCAUCUCCCUACCUGACCCAUUUUUGUUUGCAUCUAUAUCUCCAAAAACAUUCCUCCUUGCUGU